GGGUAACUUGCUAUUGAGAGCAGGCUCUGGGGUCUGAUGGCCUGGGUUUGAAGGCUCAUUCCUCUACUUCUGUCUGUGUAAACUUGGGUAAUUGACCUAGUUCUCUAUGUCUCCAGUUGCUCGUCUGUAAAUAGGAACCAUAACCACACUAACUUCUAGGGUUGCUGUGAGAAUUAAAGGAGACAGUUUAUAAGUCAUGCAUUGAGCACAAUGUGUGGGGCACAGUAAAGGCUCAAAAAUGUCAGCUAUUCUUAGCCUUUUAUUGGUGUUGAGAAAAUACUAAUUGAUUACUGUGACAGAUAUUUCUCUUAUCACUGGUGUGCCUGUGGGUGUCUAUACUUCCCAGCCUCUUUGCAAUUAGGAAGAGUCAAGUGAUUAGUUGUGACCAAACAAAUAUUCGCAGAGGUGACGUACGUUACUACAAGGAAACUUCCCUAGAUAAUACUAUGUAGUUUAUUUUGUCCUGCUGCAGAAACCAAAGAACUCCACAUGGUGAACUUCCUUCAACUUGAAUCCCUGAGUGACUGCAUGGAUCCCUGAGCGACAGUAUGGACCCCUGAGUGACUGCAACGGACAGGAUUCUUUUAUCCAGAAGAUGUGUUGAUGAUGAAUACAUCCAAGGUGGCGCUAGUGGUAAAGAAGCUGCCUGCCAAUGCAGGAGACAUAAGAGACACGAGUUCAAUCCCUGAGUCGGAAAGAUCCAUUGGAGGAGGGCAUGGCAGCCCAUUCCAGUAAUCUUUCCUGGAGAAUCCCUUGGGCAGAGGAGCCUGGAGGACUACCGUCCAUGGGGUCACAGAGUCGGACGUGACUAAAACAACUUGGCACACAGCACAUACGCGUGACAUUGUCUCUUCUCUUAGAUACACAAUCAAUUUCAUAAGUAUAUUAAAUCUAUUAUGUGGAAACAUGUUGAAUAGAUUAGUGCAUUAAAUAGAUUAAACGAAAGGAAGGAUGCAGAUGAAGUCUGAGUUCAUUUCCUCAGCUUCUCUAGUUUUUGACGUGGCUACGGAACUAGCAGUUGGGCCUAAAAUAGUUGUAUUUACUGAGCCUCAGUGCUUCUCACCUCCCUCCCUGCCUGCCUGCCUGCUGUCCUUUCCACCUAUGCUUCUUUCUUGGCAAUCGGAGGCCUCUUUCCCAGCUUGAACCCUGGGGGUUUUCCAGAACCUUUUUACUUAAACAUAUAUUGACCUAGGCCUUACUUCCCUGAGUAAAUUAUGCCGCAGGCAGCAAUCUCCAGGUCAUAAAUUAGCCCACAACCCCAUGCAACUGUCUGCUAAUGAUGCGGACAGUGAAACUGCGUCUUCAUGGAACUGGCUGGACAAGAGUCCUCUAAAUUUUGUUGGCUGACAGCUCCCCCUCUCCCCCUCACCUGGCUGGCUUUUCAGUGACUCUCUGUCUGGUUUCAUCUUUAUCAUCCCUCCUGUGUUCAUGCCAAAGAUAAAAGGACUCCAUCAAGGAAGCCAGGGAAAGAGAAGGGUUGACAUCAGCACCCAGCCCAUAAGAGGUGUUCGGUACAUAUUUGUUGAGUGAACGGAUGCACGUGAAGAGCGGGACAUGAUGUUGACUUUGAUGGUUGUUGGUGUUCUCAUUAUCCUGGCAGUUCCUUAAGGUCAAGCCAGAGUCUUAGCCUUAAGGAAAGUCUGGCCUUAAAGAAACCAUCCUGGUUUCUCCAGGGUCUGCGAUAGGGCUUGUCAUUCAAAACACCAUCAAUCCACUGGAUGGAUGCUAGGGGCAUUCUGGGAAUCAAAGUGUCUUCCUUCUAUGGACCACUUCUUCUUUCUUCAUUAGUGUCUUCUCUUUGUAACCUUCUCUUGAGCUGUUUAGGUGUGCUGAAUUGGGGUCAGAUACCUGUAUUGGCUCAAUGAAUAUCUGAGUCCUUGUCUCUCUUUCACCUUUGAAAUUUAAAGGAAUUCCUUUAUAUCUGUGUUAUCAUCUCAUUCCAAGAAAUCAAGGGAAAGAAUCCUUGAAUAUGGGUGUCACUUGAUGAAUUUUGUGAAUAUUAAUUAUUGUUGUUGUUUAGUCGGUAAGUCACGUCUGAUUCUCUGUGACCCCAUGGACUGUAGCAUGCCUGGCUCCCUUGUCCUUCACUAUCUCCUGGAGUUUGCUCAGAUUCAUAUCCAUUGAGUUGGUGAUGCUAUUUAACCAUCUCUUUCUCUGCUGCCCCCUUCUCCACCAUACUCCUGUAAUCUUCACAACUAUACAAGAUGUGGGCCAGAAGUUACUGACAGAGAAACCGAGGGUCAAAGUGAUUAGAUAAUUUGACUGAAGUGGGAAGAACUGGUCACACGUGGAUUUCAACUCAGAUUUGCCUAACUUCAGGAUAGACUAUUCAGCCACUACCCUGUUCAGAGUGGCAGUGGUGUUUUGUUUUUAAUUCUUAACUAGGGAUUUCCCUGGCGAUCCAAUGUGGGACUUAAUCUUCCAGUGCAGUGGGUACAGG
ensembl:lncRNA